GAUGAACGCUGGCGGCGUGCCUAAUACAUGCAAGUCGAGCGAAUGGAUUAAGAGCUUGCUCUUAUGAAGUUAGCGGCGGACGGGUGAGUAACACGUGGGUAACCUGCCCAUAAGACUGGGAUACCUCCGGGAAACCGGGGCUAAUACCGGAUAACAUUUUGAACCGCAUGGUUCGAAAUUGAAAGGCGGCUUCGGCUGUCACUUAUGGAUGGACCCGCGUCGCAUUAGCUAGUUGGUGAGGUAACGGCUCACCAAGGCAACGAUGCGUAGCCGACCUGAGAGGGGGAUCGGCCACACUGGGACUGAGACACGGCCCAGACUCCUACGGGAGGCAGCAGUAGGGAAUCUUCCGCAAUGGACGAAAGUCUGACGGAGCAACGCCGCGUGAGUGAUGAAGGCUUUCGGGUCGUAAAACUCUGUUGUUAGGUAAGAACAAGUGUUAGUUGAAUAAGCUGGCACCUUGACGGUACCUAACCAGAAAGCCACGGCUAACUUCGUUCCAGCCGCCGCGGUAA
rnacentral:rRNA from 1 species